rnacentral:rRNA from 1 species
ACCGAAUAGAUACCCCGGUAGUCCACGCCCUAAACUAUGCGAACUGGAUGUUGGGUACAUUACGGUACUCAGUGUCGAAAGCUAAACGCGUUAAGUUCGCCGCCUGGGGAGUACGGUCGCAAGACUGAAACUCAAAGGAAUUGACGGGGGCCCGCACAAGCGGUGGAGUAUGUGGUUUAAUUCGAUGCAACGCGAAGAACCUUACCUGGCCUUGACAUCUGUCGAAUCCUGCAGAGAUGCGGGAGUGCCGCAAGGAACGACAAGACAGGUGCUGCAUGGCUGUCGUCAGCUCGUGUCGUGAGAUGUUGGGUUAAGUCCCGCAACGAGCGCAACCCUUGUCCCUAGUUGCCAGCACAUCAUGGUGGGAACUCUAGGGAGACUGCCGGUGACAAACCGGAGGAAGGUGGGGAUGACGUCAAGUCCUCAUGGCCCUUACGG